rnacentral:rRNA from 1 species
UACGGAGGGUGCAAGCGUUAAUCGGAGUUACUGGGCGUAAAGCGUGCGCAGGCGGUUUGUUAAGUCUGCUGUGAAAUCCCCGAGCUCAACUUGGGAAUUGCAGUGGAUACUGGCAAGCUGGAGUACGGUAGAGGAAGGUGGAAUUCCCGGUGUAGCAGUGAAAUGCGUAGAGAUCGGGAGGAACACCAGUGGCGAAGGCGGCCUUCUGGACCAGUACUGACGCUCAUGCACGAAAGCGUGGGGAGCAAACAGG